GCUCCAGCUAGUGUAUAAAACGGUCAAAAACUAAGAAACUCCACGUACAUCAUCGCAUCAGGCGACAUGGCAGAACUGCACAUUUGUUACUUUUUUUUUUCUUUUUGAGAGGUGCACAUUUGUUUUUUUUUUGCGGGAAAGAGAGUUGCACAUUUGUUACUCUGUAUUUGUGCUCGAGUCUCGCGUGGCAUUGCGAAUUGCGGUAACAACUGGAGACGCAAUACGAGCCUUUUGGGCUCUCGGCAGAUCGCUGAGCCUCCAGGAGUGUUGGCCCAGCCAUGUUUCACAGGUAUCUCAGCGACGGCCCAGGCCAACCUGGGUGUUGCUCGAUCUCCGGCUGUUAUAACGGGUCGUAGUUACUGUUACGGAGGUCAACCUGGGCGCUGUGCAUGGCAAAAAAGAAGAAGCUCGAGAUCAUAUCGAGGAGGUUGACUGACCCCGUGACCCGGUGAAACAGCGAUGGACAAGGACACCAUAUGGAAACUGUACACUUUGCAAUCGCCCAACUAGAUAUCAUCCGGAAAAUGCACAGUGCCUGUGUUACUAGAUGUGUGGCCCUGGACCGGUUAAACUAUGCGUGCGAUCAUAUUUCCCAGCUAGGCAUCUUAAUUACAGAUGGUACGGACCGACUGCUGAUCGAGCUACUCCCCCUUUCCAAAUGAUAACUCAUAUAGCCUUUUCUCAUUUGUUUCAAAACACAUCUCAUUUUUUUCUUGAUACCAGCACCCGGCCAAUAACUACUCAUAUACAUUUAUUAUUAAUUCAAUAUGAGUGGUCAGGCACUAGAAACGAGAGCUGCCUUGGUCCAAGUACACAAAUCUAUAUGAGUUGUGUUUUUGAACAAAGAAAGUAGCAUGUUUUCUCAUUAGCAUGGAGCAUACAACGGUAC
rnacentral:lncRNA from 1 species